rnacentral:rRNA from 1 species
UACGGGGGGGGCAAGCGUUGUUCGGAAUUACUGGGCGUAAAGCGUGCGUAGACGGUUAUUUAAGUCGGAUGUGAAAGCCCCGGGCUCAACCUGGGAAUUGCAUUCGAGACUGAAUAGCUAGGGUGCGGUAGAGGGAAGCGGAAUUUCCGGUGUAGCGGUGAAAUGCGUAGAUAUCGGAAGGAACAUCAGUGGCGAAAGCGGCUUCCUGGACCAGCACCGACGUUCAGGCACGAAAGCGUGGGGAGCAAACAGG